rnacentral:rRNA from 1 species
GACGAACCGUGCGAACGUUAUUCGGAAUCACUGGGCUUAAAGCGCGUGUAGGCGGGGCGGGGCGUCGGCCGCUGAAAUCCCCCGGCUCAACCGGGGAAGGGGCGCCGAUACGACCGCCCUGGAGCGACGUAGGGGGGACUGGAACUUCCGGUGGAGCGGUGAAAUGCGUUGAGAUCGGAAGGAACGCCCGUGGCGAAAGCGAGUCCCUGGACGUCGGCUGACGCUGAGACGCGAAAGCCAGGGGAGCGAACGGG